rnacentral:rRNA from 1 species
AUUGAACGCUGGCGGCAGGCUUAACACAUGCAAGUCGAGCGGAGAGAGGUAGCUUGCUACUGAUCUUAGCGGCGGACGGGUGAGUAAUGCUUAGGAAUCUGCCUAUUAGUGGGGGACAACAUUUCGAAAGGAAUGCUAAUACCGCAUACGUCCUACGGGAGAAAGCAGGGGAUCUUCGGACCUUGCGCUAAUAGAUGAGCCUAAGUCAGAUUAGCUAGUUGGUGGGGUAAAGGCCUACCAAGGCGACGAUCUGUAGCGGGUCUGAGAGGAUGAUCCGCCACACUGGGACUGAGACACGGCCCAGACUCCUACGGGAGGCAGCAGUGGGGAAUAUUGGACAAUGGGCGCAAGCCUGAUCCAGCCAUGCCGCGUGUGUGAAGAAGGCCUUAUGGUUGUAAAGCACUUUAAGCGAGGAGGAGGCUACUUUAGUUAAUACCUAGAGAUAGUGGACGUUACUCGCAGAAUAAGCACCGGCUAACUCUGUGCCAGCCGCCGCCGUAAGAC